CAAGGUCCGGCCCCGUCCAGAACUUCCUCCCAGGUCCAUUUCUCCCGCCAGUCCAACUCGAAUUCCCUCUGCUCCUUCUUCUGCUGCUUGGUCCUUGAGUGGUGGGUGAUUCUGUCACAGUUGUCGUCGGUGAAUGAGGACCAAAACGCAGCAGAGCGCUCCACAGACGAGAGGGAUUCCGUUUGUGGCCUGCCCCGCACACUCAGGAUUACCACGCACCGUUAAUCAAAGGCAACGCGGCAGGACCUAGGAGGAAGAGAAAAGUUCGCCACAGACAGAUGUAGGUGAGCUGCUCUAGUCUGGUUAGCUAUCCAGUUGCUGGAAAGGACCUCUAGAACCAACAAUGUAGGCUACGGUUCGGGUUAGCCAAUCGUGUGAAAAGGGCGUAUGUUUACUCCCCCAUUUCUCCUCUUGUCUUUCUGUGUCCUGCCCAUGAAGAAAUGACUUAUUUUACUUCAAGUUUGAUUCAGUUCAAACUAAAUGUGCUUCAUUGGCACAGCAAAGAUAGCAGCCUAUGC
rnacentral:lncRNA from 1 species